rnacentral:rRNA from 1 species
UACGUAGGGUGCAAGCGUUAAUCGGAAUUACUGGGCGUAAAGCGUGCGCAGGCGGUGAUGUAAGACAGGUGUGAAAUCCCCGGGCUUAACCUGGGAACUGCAUUUGUGACUGCAUCGCUGGAGUGCGGCAGAGGGGGAUGGAAUUCCGCGUGUAGCAGUGAAAUGCGUAGAUAUGCGGAGGAACACCGAUGGCGAAGGCAAUCCCCGUGGACCUGUACUGACGCUCAUGCACGAAAGCGUGGGGAGCAAACAGG